rnacentral:rRNA from 1 species
GAUGAACGCUAGCUACAGGCUUAACACAUGCAAGUCGAGGGGAAACGACAUCGAAAGCUUGCUUUUGAUGGGCGUCGACCGGCGCACGGGUGAGUAACGCGUAUCCAACCUGCCCAUCACUUGGGAAUAACCUUGCGAAAGUAAGACUAAUACCCAAUGACAUCCCACGAAGACAUCUGAAUGGGAUUAAAGAUUUAUCGGUGAUGGAUGGGGAUGCGUCUGAUUAGCUUGUUGGCGGGGUAACGGCCCACCAAGGCAACGAUCAGUAGGGGUUCUGAGAGGAAGGUCCCCCACAUUGGAACUGAGACACGGUCCAAACUCCUACGGGAGGCAGCAGUGAGGAAUAUUGGUCAAUGGGCGAGAGCCUGAACCAGCCAAGUAGCGUGCAGGAUGACGGCCCUAUGGGUUGUAAACUGCUUUUAGAAGGGAAUAAAGUGGGUCUCGUGAGACUUUUUGCAUGUACCUUAUGAAUAAGAACCGGCUAAUUCCGUG